CUGAUAUAAUUAUUAAAGGGCUGCAGUAUUUUGACUGUACAAAGGUAGCAUAAUCAAUAGUCUUUUAAUUGAUGACUUGUAUGAAAGAUUGAAUGAAAUAUAAACUGUCUCUAAUUUAUAAAAAGAAUUUAAUUUUUUAAUUAAAAAGUUAAAAUGAAUUUAAAAGACGAAAAAACCCUAUAGAGUUUUAUAUUUAAAUUUAUUAAUAUUAUUUUUUAGUUUAAUAAUUGAAAUAAAUUUAAUUAUUUUAUUGGGGGGAUAAGAAAAUAUAAUUAACUUUUUUAUUUAAAAUUCAUAGAUAAGUGAAUAAAUGAUCCAAAAUUUUUGAUUAAAAAAAAAAAUUACCUUAGGGAUAACAGCGUAAUUUUUUCUUUUAGUUCAUAUAAAAAAAAGAGUUUGCGACCUCGAUGUUGGAUUAAAAAAAAAUUUAUAUGCAAAAGUCUAAUAUUUUGAUC
rnacentral:rRNA from 1 species